rnacentral:rRNA from 1 species
CGUAACAAGGUUUCCGUAGGUGAACCUGCGGAAGGAUCAUUACCUAGAGUUUGUAGACUUCGGUCUGCUACCUCUUACCCAUGUCUUUUGAGUACCUUCGUUUCCUCGGCGGGUCCGCCCGCCGAUUGGACAACAUUCAAACCCUUUGCAGUUGCAAUCAGCGUCUGAAAAAACAUAAUAGUUACAACUUUCAACAACGGAUCUCUUGGUUCUGGCAUCGAUGAAGAACGCAGCGAAAUGCGAUAAGUAGUGUGAAUUGCAGAAUUCAGUGAAUCAUCGAAUCUUUGAACGCACAUUGCGCCCCUUGGUAUUCCAUGGGGCAUGCCUGUUCGAGCGUCAUUUGUACCUUCAAGCUCUGCUUGGUGUUGGGUGUUUGUCUCGCCUCUGCGUGUAGACUCGCCUUAAAACAAUUGGCAGCCGGCGUAUUGAUUUCGGAGCGCAGUACAUCUCGCGCUUUGCACUCAUAACGACGACGUCCAAAAGUACAUUUUUACACUCUUGACCUCGGAUCAGGUAGGGAUACCCGCUGAACUUAAGCAUAUCAAU